rnacentral:rRNA from 1 species
GACGAACGCUGGCGGCGUGCUUAACACAUGCAAGUCGAACGGUGAACUCCGCUUGCGGGGGGAUCAGUGGCGAACGGGUGAGUAACACGUGGGCAACCUGCCCCCAGCCUUGGGAAAACCCCAAGAAAUUGGGGCAAAAACCGGAAAUGCCGGCUGACCGCAGGGCUGGGGGGGGGAAAGUUUUUUCGGCUGGGGAUGGGCCCGCGGCCUAUCAGCUUGUUGGUGGGGUAGUGGCCUACCAAGGCGACGACGGGUAGCCGGCUUGAGAGGGUGACCGGCCACACUGGGACUGAGACACGGCCCAGACUCCUACGGGAGGCAGCAGUGGGGAAUAUUGCGCAAUGGGCGAAAGCCUGACGCAGCGACGCCGCGUGGGGGAUGACGGCCUUCGGGUUGUAAACCUCUUUCAGCAGGGACGAAGCGAAAGUGACGGUACCUGCAGAAGAAGCACCGGCCAACUACGUG